AAGAAACCAUCCAUGGUUUCUUAAGUUUCGGCACUUUCAUAGCAAAAUUAAGGUAUGCUUUGGUUUCGGUUUUUGAUAAUUUUUACAUUUUUGAGAUCGUUGCUUUGAAUACUACCCGACCCAUGCUUGAAUUUCUGAUUUUAAUGAAUAUUUUGAGUUAUGCCAUUGAUGAAUAUUUGUGUUUUGUGAUGUUUGAUGAUGAAUAAUGGAAGAUAUGUCUUAGAUUAACAUGUUUUGUCUUGGGAUUUUUGAUGAAUUUGAGUAUUUAGGGCUAAAUUGUGAAAAUAAAUUUUUGAGGGACUAAAAUGUGAAAUAAAUGCAAUGUGUGGACUUGUAUGAGAACCAUGAAUAUUCGGCCCUUGUGUGGUAUGGGCAAAUUUUGUGUAUUUUGUGUUUUGUGCAAAAAGGACUAAAUUGCAAAAAGUGUAAAAUGUUAGGGGCAAAAUGGUAAUUUUCUCAUUUAUGUACUUUUGGACUUAAUUGAAUGUUUUGAUGAAUAAAAAGGUUAAAUUUGAUUAUGUUUAGAUCAAGAAACGAAGAAAACGAAUUUGGAUCGGGGAAAAACAAAAGCAAUCGAAUAGUCGAUCGUGUCUGCUGAUAUUCGAG
rnacentral:lncRNA from 1 species